UGUCUAUCAUUGUUAUAGAGGUAGAAUGUUGUUACAGAGAAGUAAAAUAAAACAUGAAAAAUGGAUUCUGGAGAAAUAAUUUGAUUUUUUAUGAUGUAUAGGGCAUACAUGAAAAGGGUCGUGGACGAGCAUUUCUAUUUUCUCAUGCUAUCAAUGUUGUUGAGGAGCCUCCAUAUUGCAUGCAAAUGAUAAGUGGUCCUCAUGUGGUGUCUGAUAUUUUAUGUGCUGAAUGUGGCAAAAAAUUGGGCUGGAAAUACAAGAAAAGUUUUCGUGAUGUUAACAAGUACAAGGAAGGCAAAAUUGUCAUGGUCAAGUACAACAUCAUCAAGGUUUAGGUUGUUCAUCCUCCUUUCAAUGAUAUGAAUGUAUGUUUAGUUCAUUCAUUAUCAUGUUUAAAGUUUUGAACUUUGACAUUUAUACAUUAUUUACUUAUAUAUGCACUAGAUUUUGGGUCAAUUUGAGAUGCUCCAUAUGGUUUAUUAUAAAGUCUAUGAGGGGUAUGACUGAAAAAAGAGACCCCAAUUAGACUUAGAUAUAGAGAGAUGGAAGUCAUUAACAAUGACCCUUUGUAUGAACAAUUGACAAGGAAAGUUAACUAGUACUAGUAAUUGACAAUUGAACAAAACUUAGACUCCCUCAACUUGGGCUUGAAAAACAUCCUCUUUGCCUUGACUAGUGAAGAAAAAUCCUAUGUACCGACGGUAUUAAUUUUUUAUUUUAUUUUCACACAAUUAGAUAGUUAGACGCGUUUAUUCUGAUAGUAUGCUCGGCCUUCACUAACAUUUUUACUCCCCUUUGAUGGAUCAUAACAUUAUAAAAAAUCAAAUUAUACUGAUUUUGUAUAUUCUUUAAACCGAUGACUUAAAUUCCAUCAAAUAUUAUGGGACCAAAAGGAUUUCAAAAUGAGAAGAUAGCUAGGAAGCUUAAAGGAGGAGGACAAGUAAAAGACAAACUAAGGAAAAAUCCUUGUGACAAGUUUGACAUCACAUUUUAGUUCAACUUUCUAAGUAGCCUGAGUUGGAACUUUCUUAGUUUGACAUCACAUUUUAGUUCAACUUUCUAAGGGCCCGUUUGGCCAUGCGAUAUGGUAUCAUGAUAUUGAAUCAUAAGAUGAAAUUGAAGGUAUGUUUGGACAUGCGAUAUGGAAUUUUUGUGUUGUAUAUUUUCUCAUAAACAUAAAAAUCUCAUAAGUUGUAAAACUAUUAAAAUAACUCCAAUUGUUUAUUCAAUCUUAUCAAAUAAACAAAAAAUUAUAAAAUUGCAUAAUAAAUUAUUACAAAGUUAAAAGUAGAAAAAAAACAUACAUUAGUGAGUAAAUAUUAACUUAGAAGUUAAAUACACUAAGAUAAAAAUUAACAAACAUCACUGACUUCUAACUAUUUACAAGAAAAAUCAAUAGUUAAAUAUUAUUGAAUAACGAAAUUUUAAAAAGUUACCACAAGUUUGAGUCAAAAACACUUCUAAUAAAAUUUAAUCAAAAAAAUUAUAACUAGUCCACUUGACUAAAUAUUAAUAACUAAUUGAUCAAAUUUUCCCAAGUCCUCAAUCAAUUGGACUUGAUAUUCUUCAGUCAUGUGAACGAACAUUUUGCGAAUACUAAGAUUAAGAAAGUGCGGCACCGCCAAUGAAAAUUGUCUUUUAUCAAUAUUAUGCUUAGUCAUAAGAUUAAGACGUUUUUUUUUAUUAUGAAAAAUCAAAAAAGUAUUACUCCCUUCGUUCUCAUUUAUAUUCACCAAAUGAAUUUCUACUUUAUCAUUUAUAUUCACCAAAUUUAAAGUAAUAAUAAAUUUUAUAUUAGUGAGAAUAAUAAAUUUUAAAAAGUAAUGAUGUGAUUAUAAAUUUUAUUUACAUAUGAAACAAAUGGUUAGUAGAUAUAAAUGUGGGGUUGUUUUAACAAAAUAUAAACUCAUGGAUCAAUUAUUGUAUUAAAAUAUCUCAAAUCAUGAUAUGGUGAUUCCAUAUCAUGGUUUUUGGAGAAUAUGGUAUCACCUCUCGUGAUAUGGAAUCAGCGUAAAAUUGCAUGUCCAAACACUAAUUCCAUCUCACGACACCAUAUCGUGAUAUGGUAUCGCAUGGCCAAACGCCUACUAAGUAGCCUGAGUUGGAACUUUCUUUUGUACAGUAGAUAUAUAGCCAAGCACAAAUUAAUUAGAAGAGAAUGGAAAGCGAAGUUGGUAAAUAUCAAGACUUGUUACCGGUGAUGGCGGAUAAGGUGGAGGUGGAUACAUUUGUCAAGGAGCUAUGUGGAGGAUUCCGGCAACUGGCUGACCCACAAUCAAAUUGAUCGCCCCGUCUAGUUUGCAGAAAAACUCUGGAUUUUGGGAAUGAGCAGAGAAGAUGCUGAGGCUAGGGUGAGAGAAGGAGACUUGGAUGAAAAUGAGUUUUGCAUCCUCAUGGUCAGACUUAGCCCAGAGAUUAUGCAAGACGCUGAGUUAUAGUAUCGGUUUUACU
rnacentral:lncRNA from 1 species